GAGUCCACACUGUGUGUGUUCUUUAUAUUUGCUGUUUCAGAGGACUUUUUCUUUUGGAAGAAGGAAGAUUAAAAACGUUAAUAGCACAACAUGUCUGGAUCUUCUCCAUAUCAUUUGGAAUCCAUCUUUGUUCUAUUCCAGGUGUGAUCCUUUUCAGAAGAACUCGUGGCUCUUUUUUUUUUUUUUUUUCCUUCACAAUAAAUCCUGAUUAAGUGGGUUAUUUUCAAAAGCCUCUUCCUUUGCUGAACUUUUCCUUUUGUAUGUUUAUAUUCUCAGAGGAAAUACAACAGCUACUUCUUGCAUCAAUGUGCAACAUUUGUAACUAAUAUUCUGCAAGUUUGUGGAAAACCUGCAAACAGAAGGUUGGAUGAUCAUUUAAAAAACGAUUUUUUGUUUUUUUUUGUUUUUUUUAUAAUGUAGAGAAAAAAAACAUAUUCCCAGCAACCUCCAACUCUUGGAGCCCAGUGAUUCUGCUGAUUCUACGAGCCGUUCUUUCUGACUCUAGACGUAUCUGUUGAUCUCUUUGUGGGGCUG